rnacentral:rRNA from 1 species
CUCAAAGAUUAAGCCAUGCAUGUCUAAGUAUAAACGAUUUAAUCGUGAAACCGCGAAUGGCUCAUUAUAACAGCGUAUAAUUUACUUGAUCUUGACACCUAUCCUACUUGGAUAACCUGUGGUAAUUCUAGAGCUAAUACAUGCAUUAAAGCUCUGACCUCACGGGAAGAGUGCAUUUAUUAGGACAAAACCAAGCGGCUUCGGCUGUUUCUGGUUGACUCAUAGUAACUGAGCUGAUCGCAUGGUCUUGUACCGGCGACGUGUCUUUCAAGUAUCUGCCGUAUCAACUUUCGAUGGUAGUGUAUCUGACUACCAUGGUGAUCACGCGUAACGGAGAAUAAGGGUUCGGCUCCGGAGAGUUCGCCUGAGAAAUCGCGAACACAUCUAAGGAAGGCAGCAGACGCGAAAAUUACCCACUCUCAGCACGAGGAGGUAGUGACGAAAAAUAACGAGACCGUUCUCUUCUGAGGCCGGUCAUCGGAAUGGGUACAAUUUAAACCCUUUAACGAGUAUCUAUGAGAGGGCAAGUCUGGUGCCAGCAGCCGCGGUAAUUCCAGCUCUCAAAGUGCAUAGAAUUAUUGCUGCGGUUAAAAAGCUCGUAGUUGGAUCUGUGCCAUAGGACGUGGUCCACCUUUUUGGUGCGCACUACGCUCCUAGGCUUUUUGCUGGUUUUCCCGUCGUAGCCUUCACUGGUUGCGGCGGGUGGCUGGCGAGUUUACAUUGAGAAAAUCAGAGUGCUCAAUACAGGCGUAUCGCUUGAAUGAUUGUGCAUGGAAUAAUAGAAAAGGAUUUCGGUCCUCUUUUAUUGGUUUUGUGGACUGAGAUAAUGGUUAACAGGGACAAACGGGGGCAUUCGUAUCGCUGCGUGAGAGGUGAAAUUCUUGGACCGUAGCGAGACGCCCUACUGCGAAAGCAUUUGCCAAGAAUGUCUYCAUUAAUCAAGAACGAAAGUCAGAGGUUCGAAGGCGAUCAGAUACCGCCCUAGUUCUGACCGUAAACGAUGCCAACUAGCGAUCCGCCGGUGGAUUUUUAGCCCUGGUGGGUAGCUUCCCGGAAACGAAAGUCUUCCGGUUCCGGGGGAAGUAUGGUUGCAAAGCUGAAACUUAAAGGAAUUGACGGAAGGGCACCACCAGGAGUGGAGCCUGCG